GAUGAACGCUGGCGGCGUGCCUAAUACAUGCAAGUCGAGCGAAUGGAUUAAGAGCUUGCUCUUAUGAAGUUAGCGGCGGACGGGUGAGUAACACGUGGGUAACCUGCCCAUAAGACUGGGAUAACUCCGGGAAACCGGGGCUAAUACCGGAUAACGUUUUGAACCGCAUGGUUCGAAAUUGAAAGGCUGCUUCGGCUGUCACUUAUGGAUGGACCCGCGUCGCAUUAGCUAGUUGGUGAGGUAACGGCUAACCAAGGCAACGAUGCGUAGCCGACCUGAGAGGGUGAUCGGCCACACUGGGACUGAGACACGGCCCAGACUCCUACGGGAGUCAGCAGCAGGGAAUCUUCCGCAAUGGACGAAAGUCUGACGGAGCAACGCCGCGUGAGUGAUGAAGGCUUUCGGGUCGUAAAACUCCGUUGUUAGGGAAGAACAAGUGCUAGUUGAAUAAGCUGGCACCUUGACGGUACCUAACCAGAAAGCCACGGCUAACACGUGCCAGCCGCCGCGGUAA
rnacentral:rRNA from 1 species